rnacentral:rRNA from 1 species
AGUGAACGCUGGCGGCAGGCCUAACACAUGCAAGUCGAACGGCAGCGGGUCAGUAGCAAUACUGAUGCCGGCGAGUGGCGGACGGGUGAGGAAUACAUCGGAAUCUACCUUGUCGUGGGGGAUAACGUAGGGAAACUUACGCUAAUACCGCAUACGAACUAUGGUUGAAAGCGGCGGACCGCAAGGCGUCGCGCGAUUGGAUGAGCCGAUGUCCGAUUAGCUAGUUGGCGGGUAAAGGCCCACCAAGGCGACGAUCGGUAGCUGGUCUGAGAGGAUGAUCAGCCACACUGGAACUGAGACACGGUCCAGACUCCUACGGAGGCAGCAGUGGGGAAUAUUGGACAAUGGGCGCAAGCCUGAUCCAGCCAUACCGCGUGUGUGAAGAAGGCC